rnacentral:tRNA from 3 species
GCGCCCGUAGCUCAACGGAUAGAGCAUCUGACUACGGAUCAGAAGGUUGGGGGUUCGAAUCCCUCCGGGCGUA